rnacentral:rRNA from 1 species
UACGUAGGGGGCUAGCGUUGUCCGGAUUUAUUGGGCGUAAAGAGCGUGUAGGCGGCCAUGUAGGUCCGGUGUGAAAACUCGAGGCUUAACCUCGAGAUGUCAUCGGAAACCAUUUGGCUAGAGUCCGGAAGAGGAGAGUGGAAUUCCUGGUGUAGCGGUGAAAUGCGCAGAUAUCAGGAAGAACACCCGUGGCUAAGGCGGCUCUCUAGUACGGUACUGACGCUGAGACGCGAAAGCGUGGGGAGCAAACAGG